rnacentral:rRNA from 1 species
ACAGAGGGUGCGAGCGUUAAUCGGAAUUACUGGGCGUAAAGCGCACGUAGGCGGUUUGACAAGCGGGUUGUGAAAUCCCCGGGCUUAACCUGGGAACUGCAUCCCGAACUGUCAGGCUAGAGUAUGGUAGAGGUGAGUGGAAUUUCCUGUGUAGCGGUGAAAUGCGUAGAUAUAGGAAGGAACAUCAGUGGCGAAGGCGGCUCACUGGACUAAUACUGACGCUGAGGUGCGAAAGCGUGGGGAGCAAACAGG